rnacentral:rRNA from 1 species
AUUGAAGGCUGAAAUUCGCCUUCAUGAAGCCGGAAUUGCUAGUAAUGGCAGGUCAGCAUACUGCCGUGAAUACGUUCCCGGGCCUUGUACACACCGCCCGUCACACCAUGAGAGUUGGGAAUACCCGAAGCCUGUGAGCUAACAUUAAGAGGCAGCAGUCGAAGGUAGAAUCAAUGAUUGGGGUGAAGUCGUAACAAGGUACC